UAAAACUGAUACAAACCUACACAAAACAAAAUAUAAGAAAAUAGAGGUGGUUUCAAAUAUCUUGAGUCGAUUAUCCAGAAUGAAUAUUGAAGAGAUUGACGAGGAUGUCAUGAUUACUGUGUUGUUGUAGGGUGGAUGAAAUGGAGGCUCACAUUCAUAGUUUUGUGUGAUAAGAAGGUGUCAUCUUAACUUAAAGACAAGUUCUACAAAGUCAUGGUACGUCAAGUUAUGUAGUAUGAAGUGAAGUGUUUGCCAGUCAACAAUUCUCACAUUCAAAAGAUAAAAGUGUGAAGAUGAGGAUGUUGCGAUGGUAGAUACAAUUAAAAAUGAGAAUACCUAGGACAAGGUGAGAGUGACUUUGGGUAAAGACAAGAUGCCAAAAGAGAGGUCGAGAUGAUUUGUGCAUGCGAUAUGGAGAUGCACGGUUGAUACCGAUGCAGAUGUUGGUUAUGAAUGGAUUUGAGAGAUGUAGAGGUAGACCGAUUAGACAUGACAUGACAUGACGUAGUUACAAUUUACCGUGUACAUAGCCUUAGAUAUGAAAGUAUGAAAGAAACAAAUUAGGUAGAAAAUUAGUAGGUGGAAGUGUGUCCAUACCAGUAGGUAAGAGUGAUUUGUCUUGUUUUCUUUACUCUUGUAGUUUCUUGUUCUUCGAUUUCCAUAACUAUCUAUUAUUUUUUGCAAUUUGUUUGUAGUGUUAUUUUGUUGUAGUUCUUUUCUGUUACUAUGUGUUGUUUUUGUUACUCUAUUGUUUCUUGUACUUUCAUUAUGUUUUUUCUAGACCGUGAGACUAUACCAUAUUGUCCGCUUUGUACCUAACUUGCACGGUUUUCUCAAAAAGACAGCACACCAUUAAGAGACCCUACACCUUUUAAGUAGCUUCCCAAUCCUUUUAGCUACUAAUGUGAGAUUUUUGUUCGCUCAACCAACAGUGUUCCGUUCAACCUAAGUUCCAUAUGGCUCAUCACUACAAACUAUGAGUUAAUUUUCAUGAUUUACUAUGUGUCACCCGCAUAAGAGAUCCUCUUUCAUUUCAUUUCAGCUACCAAUAAUAUGUCAUGGGUAAUGUCUACAUAUGAUUGGGCUUUAAUGGCUCAAAACCUGUUUGAUGAAAUGCCUAGUCCAUAUGGGCUGUCCUUGAGUGUUUUCUUUCAAGACACAUACAAAAGUAGUCCUACAAAUAUGUGCUAUAUAUUAUGGAAAGUAGUUAAAGUGAACCGAGCUAGUUAGGACUUGCUUUGGGAAUUGAAGCUUCUGGCCGAAAAUUCAUUUGACAACUGAUGGAAGUCUACAAUUGCAAAUCAUAUGGUUGAUAAAACUUGUACUAUUAUAUGGUUUAGCCACUAAUAAAAAGAAAAUAUUAAAGUUGUUGAAGAAAAUCUCUCCACAAACAGAAAUCUUUAUUGAUUACAUAGUGGAUGUUGAUGAGUUAUUGAUAUGAGAAGGGGAUGUGAUUUACAACUCAAACAUAAUACACUACAUAUAUUAACAAAGAACAAAACUUUUGUUUGUUAAAGCUGUUUUGGAUUUCCUAAGUCUUCUUUCUUCUGAAAGCAACUUGGCAAACCUUUUCAGAGCUUCUUCAUUUGUACAACUAUGUUCACAUGGUUCAAGUAAACCUGUAUGCAAAUCAAUUUUUCAACAGAUUUUUCCCAAUUUCAACUAAUUUCUUCAUGUUAACCUCUGUUAAUAGGUCAACGGAAGUUUCUGCCUCAGUCAAUGUGUCAUCCUGAAUGCGAAUGUAAUUGUUUUUGUAAUGAAGUGCUUGGAGGAGAGCAGAAAUGUGAAAAUUUACCAUAUUAUCACUAGAAUGAGUAAGAAGGUACAAGAGCCAUUUGCGAAUACCCCAUUUGGCAGUUGUUUUAGCAUCGUAAGCUGAUGCACCUGUACCUACCAUAAUCUUCUGAUUUUACAGAGGAAUAAUCCUUGUUUGUCUGGUGCAGUUCACAUUGCAGUCACCCAUGCUCGUCCCUGCGAUUACAUCGAAGUAAUCUGCAAGUCUUGCGUCCUCUCUAUCCAAUUUCUAUUAUUCAACUUGUAAACUUUAAACAGAGAAAAACAGGGGAAUAUCAAUUGAAGUUGGAAGACUGACCUGAAGUUGGAACUCAAGAAAUUCAAGAAUGGUGGUAGGUAUAAUGCCUCUAAUUCCUCCACCAUCAAUACUCAAGAAUUGUGACAAGAUUAUCAUCAAUUAGAACAUCAUGUUCAAACGUUGUUGCCUUCAUCAAGUGAUGAAUUGCUAAAACAUAAUGUUAAAGGAAGAAAAAAACAUCUUUUUUUCCAUUUGUAUGCAAAAAGAAGAGACAAACAAUACAACAUAGUUGGGAGGAAAAGUACGUUAUAGGAAAUAUGGAAGAAAAAUAGUAUCUUUAGGGAAUGCUGAAGUUUUAUAUACGCUACUGAAGAUUACUUGAGAUAUUACAAUCAUCAAUUACAUCUCUAUUUAUACUAGUAAUAAUGUAAAUCAAAUGUCUUGCACAAAUAACUAAAUAAAUGUAUACAAUUUACUA